rnacentral:tRNA from 1 species
GUGGGUGUAGCUCAGUCGGUCAGAGCGCCAGAUUGUGGAUCUGGAAGUCGGGGGUUCAAGUCCCCUCACCCACCCCU